GUCCUCGCUCAUGGCACAGUGAGGCAACAGGUGCACCCGGCAGAGCAGGAGUCGCACUUACGGUACAGUGCUGUAAUACAGGUGUAACAGGUACAUUUGGGAGGAAACAGAUGAAAUUUCAAGCAAUUCAAUCUAGCACAAUGCAGCUCCAGCUCCUCCCACCUCCGUGUCUGUGAGUAACUGGAUAGGAGUGAUUGACAGAAGAGAGUCAUGCCGGCUGAGAAAAG